AGAGAAGGGUGUGUCAGCAGGGGAGUCACCAUAGGUGGGGAUCUUGGAAAUCCAUGAACGAGAGUCAUAGAGAUUCAUGCAACACUGGUGUGUAUGUAUGAAAAUCUCUUUCUGUUUUUUAGGGGUGCAGGGUUGCGAAACCUAGAGCCCUAUCUUUAAGCUAUGAGAUGUCAACAUAAUUGUUUUGAGGGCCACCAAUCAGACCACACAUUUUGCCCUACCCGAUUAUAAUGAGUGCUCAUUAGGUAUUGUGAUAACAACACCCUCCUUGUUUGUUAACAAAGGAGCAUUCCGUCCGUGGAUCACCCACUGCAGCUGAGGUGGCAGGAUUAGAGUCUCCCACUCCUUCCCUAGGCUUCCUGAUUCACUCCUGAGCGGACACGUGGUCAUGGGCUCACAUGGUCAGAGGUGCUUUCUCCUCCGGGUUCUGUCUCCUUCAUCCUCUCUUCUUUUUGUCUUCUGGGCUACACUAGGUUCCUUACUGAGAGGAAAGACCUACUAGCCAGCCAGGUUCCUCAGGUGAUCCUGACACAGAGGGUUUCUGAGAACUGGAAGCAAUACAAAAUGGAAUUCCAAAAGCUGGGGACAUCUGCCUGCCUCCCAAGCUCCCUGGGACUGUUGACAAGAGCACUCACAAUGGUUAAACUGCCACAGCUGACUGAAGCCAGUGAGGACAGUCCAACACGUCAGCCUUAGGACUCAGAAGGACAGGUGGCUCAAACAGGUUUUCAGGAGUCUCCCUCCUGCCCGAGAGGAGCCCGGAAGUUCAGCAGAAGGAAGAGGGACUCUCCAUCCUCGUAGAAGCAAAAGGCUUUCUUUCUGUUUGCCUUUUACUGACUGCAGUGAAAGGCCUAGCCUAUGUCCAGUGCCCCAGGUCUUGGUGAAUAAGGUGUGGGCACCUACAAAAGCUAAUCCCUGCUCGUUGUCUCUAGCCACAACUCAAGGGUUCUGCAGCUUGUCUUUGGAAAUGAGUCAACCAACAGUUGGGGAGAAAAACUGUACCUCUAAAUCACUAAUGACACACCUUCAAGGCUUGUCCUUUCAUUUACCAAACCUGGAGUUUAACAACUCGAGACCACACUUCCUUGCCUGGUAAGCCUGUGUUUCACUGAGCUCAUAAAACUGAAGAAAAGGUCAGCAGGCUCGCUGCUCCCUCAAGGAGUCUCUGGCCCCCUGCUUUGGCCUACCCUCAUUUCCUUCUGCUUCCCUGAAGGACUAUUUGAACACAUUAAGGAAGAGUCUCAUGGGCUGAGGAGGCAGCUCAGCUGGUAAAGUGUUGCUGGUCUUCUAAGCAGAAGAUCUUGAGUUCAGGUCCCCAGCACUGAUGUCAUGUUCCUGAACAUGUAACCCAUUGCUGGGGAGGCAGAGACAGAAGGAUCCCCGAGGCUUGCUGUCAGCCAGGCUAGCUGAAUUGAGUGGGGUGUACUGAAAGGAAAUCUUGUCUCAAAAAAAUACAGUGUCAGAUGGCAUAUCCUUGUACAGCUCCAGGACCUGACCUAACUGGAGUGGCAGGGGAAGGCAGAAAGAGCAGACACUAAAGAACACAGACACACCGAAAAACUGGCAUUCGGUGGCCUGGGCUCCCUGAUGAAGAAACAACACCCCAGAAACUUGGUAUGUUUAUUCUAUACAAUCCAAUAGGGAGGUUGGGUCAUUGCAUACAGCUGAAUGAGGAGGUGGGUUUAGCUAAUCUCUGUAGGAGCAGCCUGCAGAUUGCAAACAUCUGGGAGGGGAAACCUAGAGUGGACGUUUCCAGCACAUACUAUCAACAUCCACACUCAGAACAGAGGAAGGACUUGCCAUCCCUCUGAGACUCACCAGGGAAGGCCUUGUACUCCCAGGGGGCUGAGGCAAUGGGGACCUUGACAUAACUAUGCCCAAGGCAACACCACAGUUCUCUCAGAAUUUUGCUGGCUCCCUACAAGAGAAAGCAAUUUUGAGAAAGAGAGUUGACCUCUUCCCUCCCCAUGCAUGUGUCUGGAUGCACAUAUGCAUACAUAUCUAUAUAUGUGUACAUUCACACACGGGCACACACAGCUCCAGAGGACAGGGAGCUUUCCCUGCUCCAUGUCAACCUGGAAGGACUCCUUGGUUGGCUCAGUUCCCAUGACUGUCCUCACCAUCCCGUUCAUUCCUCUGUGUUUUAAUUUGACAGAUGUUAGCAUAUUACUGAAGGCCUAUCAGUAUUCACAUUGGGUCUUGCUUUAGGCAAUGGUUGUUUUACAAAAGACACUAUAGCUUCUUUCUUUUCUUCUCCAUGCUCAUAUCUUAUUAUUUAGCAAAGUUCUUAGCAGUAAAUUAUGAUUAUUUAAUUAAAAAGGUAUUUUAACAUGAAAUUUUUAGAUGUUGUCAUAGGUAAACAUUAUUAUCUAGGCGUUGGAGAAAGCAGGUAAGAGCACUUUCUUAGCUUGCAGAGACCCAGGUUCAGUUCCCAGUGCCCACGUGGUGGCUCACGUCCCCCUGUAACUGCAGCUCUAUCACAUCUGAUACCUUCUUCUGACUUUGGAGGACUUGUGCAUGCACAGAGUGCAUAUCCAUGUGUGAAGACAUACAGAAAUACAAAUAAAAGAUAUCUAAUUAUAAUUUA
rnacentral:lncRNA from 1 species